rnacentral:misc_RNA from 1 species
GAUGAAGAACGCAGUGAAAUGCGAUAAGUAAUGUGAAUUGCAGAAUUCAGUGAAUCAUCGAAUCUUUGAACGCACAUUGCGCCCGUCAGUAUUCUGGCGGGCAUGCCUGUUCGAGCGUCAUUACGCCCCUCAAGUCCCCUGUGGACUUGGUGUUGGGGAUCGGCGAGGCUGGUUUUCCACCACAGCCGUCCCUUAAAUUAAUUGGCGGUCUCGCCGUGGCCCUCCUCUGCGCAGUAGUAAAACACUCGCAACAGGAGCCCGGCGCGGUCCACUGCCGUAAAACCCCCCAACUUUUUAUAGUUGACCUCGAAUCAGGUAGGACUACCCGCUGAACUUAAGCAUAUCAAUAAGCGGAGGA